rnacentral:rRNA from 1 species
AUUGAACGCUGGCGGCAUGCCUUACACAUGCAAGUCGAACGGCAGCACGGGAGCAAUCCUGGUGGCGAGUGGCGAACGGGUGAGUAAUAUAUCGGAACGUGCCCAGUAGUGGGGGAUAGCCCGGCGAAAGCCGGAUUAAUACCGCAUACGACCUGAGGGUGAAAGCGGGGGAUCGCAAGACCUCGCGCUAUUGGAGCGGCCGAUAUCAGAUUAGCUAGUUGGUGGGGUAAAGGCCCACCAAGGCAACGAUCUGUAGUUGGUCUGAGAGGACGACCAGCCACACUGGGACUGAGACACGGCCCAGACUCCUACGGGAGGCAGCAGUGGGGAAUUUUGGACAAUGGGCGCAAGCCUGAUCCAGCAAUGCCGCGUGCAGGAAGAAGGCCUUCGGGUUGUAAACUGCUUUUGUCAGGGAAGAAAUCUUCUGGGCUAAUACCCUGGGAGGAUGACGGUACCUGAAGAAUAAGCACCGGCUAACUACGUGCCAGCCGCCGCCGUAAUAC